rnacentral:rRNA from 1 species
UACACUCCUGCGGGAGGCAGCAGUGGGGAAUUUUGGACAAUGGGCGAAAGCCUGAUCCAGCAAUGCCGCGUGAGUGAAGAAGGCCUUCGGGUUGUAAAGCUCUUUUGUCAGGGAAGAAACGGUGAAAGCUAAUAUCUUUUGCUAAUGACGGUACCUGAAGAAUAAGCACCGGCUAACUACGUGCCAGCAGCCGCGGUAAUACGUAGGGUGCAAGCGUUAAUCGGAAUUACUGGGCGUAAAGCGUGCGCAGGCGGUUUUGUAAGUCUGAUGUGAAAUCCCCGGGCUCAACCUGGGAAUUGCAUUGGAGACUGCAAGGCUAGAAUCUGGCAGAGGGGGGUAGAAUUCCACGUGUAGCAGUGAAAUGCGUAGAUAUGUGGAGGAACACCGAUGGCGAAGGCAGCCCCCUGGGUCAAGAUUGACGCUCAUGCACGAAAGCGUGGGGAGCAAACAGGAUUAGAUACCCCUGUAGUCCCA